AAAUUGAAGAGUUUGAUCAUGGCUCAGAUUGAACGCUGGCGGCAGGCCUAACACAUGCAAGUCGAACGGUAACAGGAAGCAGCUUGCUGCUUCGCUGACGAGUGGCGGACGGGUGAGUAAUGUCUGGGAAACUGCCUGAUGGAGGGGGAUAACUACUGGAAACGGUAGCUAAUACCGCAUAAUGUCGCAAGACCAAAGAGGGGGACCUUCGGGCCUCUUGCCAUCGGAUGUGCCCAGAUGGGAUUAGCUUGUUGGUGGGGUAACGGCUCACCAAGGCGACGAUCCCUAGCUGGUCUGAGAGGAUGACCAGCCACACUGGAACUGAGACACGGUCCAGACUCCUACGGGAGGCAGCAGUGGGGAAUAUUGCACAAUGGGCGCAAGCCUGAUGCAGCCAUGCCGCGUGUAUGAAG
rnacentral:rRNA from 2 species